rnacentral:miRNA from 1 species
GAACUCGUUUCGCCGUGCUCUACGCAACGGCGCAAGCGGAACUACCAAAUUCUUUCUCGAUCAAAAAUUCAAUUUUUCCCCUAUUAAAUAAUGCGAUGGCAAAAUUGUUUUUUCGCUCAAAGAUAUUAAUCCUACUUUUUAUGUAAGACCCAAACCAAAAUAUCUAAAAAUUAAGAUUUCUUUAUUCUAGCCAAAAAACGAUUUUGCCCUCGCAUAUUUUAAAGGGGAAAAAUUUGACUUUUUGAUCGGAAAAGAAUUUGAGAAUUCCGUUUGCGCCGUUGCGUAGAGCACGGCGAAACGAGUCC